GAUGAAGAACGUAGCGAAAUGCGAUAAGUAAUGUGAAUUGCAGAAUUCAGUGAAUCAUCGAAUCUUUGAACGCACAUUGCGCCCUCUGGUAUUCCGGGGGGCAUGCCUGUUCGAGCGUCAUUAUAACCACUCAAGCUCUCGCUUGGUAUUGGGGUUCGCGGUUUCGCGGCCCCUAAAAUCAGUGGCGGUGCCUGUCGGCUCUACGCGUAGUAAUACUUCUCGCGAUUGAGUUCGAUAGGUCUACUUGCCAGUAACCCCCAAUUUUUACAGGUUGACCUCGGAUCAGGUAGGGAUACCCGCUGAACUUAAGCAUAUCAAUAAGCGGCGGA
rnacentral:misc_RNA from 1 species